CACUUUGUUACUGCAGCUGUAUUUACUCUUACACCUUUAGGGAUUUAAUUGCAUCCAUCCCCAGUCUUUCAGCUGAGUGAAACACGGCAUUUCUCAGUGCGUUCCUCUGCCUCCACUGAAAAGGUCUCUCCAGCUCUGCCAGUGGGGAGAGCAAUUUGUCACUGUUUGGCCCAGGCACAGCUUUUCCAAGACUGCCUACUGAAUGCUGAGAUCAAAGCUGGGCAUCAUCCACCACCAGAGUCAGCAGGAGGGAAGGUCAGGGUCCGUGCUGACCAAGCUGGGAGCUGGCAGCGCUGGGGCUGGGAAGUGAUGCUGCCAGCAGGAACAGGCCAGCUUGGUGACCUCACGAUCAGAGGUAUGGCUCCAGCACUAUUUAUCUCAUAUUCACUGUUGGGAUCAAGGAGGGAUUUUUUCCAGAUCGUGUUACUGUGUGCCAUUUGUCCAAAAAGACUUGGUUUGGAGUUAAAGAUGGAUGCAGUUUGAGGUAGGAUGUCUGUGUACCUUGAUAGGACAUGGUUGUACCUUCCCCUGCUGCAGGAUGUCUACAGCCAGGUGUCAAUCAUAUGAACCUACUGCAACACCUCUCUAUAGCUGGAUGGAGGUAGCCAACAAAACAGACUGACAACUGACAUGCAUAAUUUCUCCUGCUUUUCUUGUGCCUUUGGGGGUGAGGAGGGUAGAGAAGGUGUUUCAGAAGCUGCUCUCUUUAAUGUUGUAUGGUGUAGAUGGCUACAUUUCAUUUUACAAGCUGAGGAUAGCUUUACAAAGAAAAGUCAGAGUACAAUUUUUAUUAGAAUAACGAGUCAAGAAGAUCUCUUACACUGUGAACACCAGUUUUUGUAAAGCAUCUU
rnacentral:lncRNA from 1 species